AGGGGAAUAUUGCACAAUGGGCGCAAGCCUGAUGCAGCCAUGCCGCGUGUAUGAAGAAGGCCUUCGGGUUGUAAAGUACUUUCAGCGGGGAGGAAGGUGUUGAGGUUAAUAACCUCAGCAAUUGACGUUACCCGCAGAAGAAGCACCGGCUACCUCCGUGCCAGCAGCCGCGGUAAUACGGAGGGUGCAAGCGUUAAUCGGAAUUACUGGGCGUAAAGCGCACGCAGGCGGUCUGUCAAGUCGGAUGUGAAAUCCCCGGGCUCAACCUGGGAACUGCAUUCGAAACUGGCAGGCUAGAGUCUUGUAGAGGGGGGUAGAAUUCCAGGUGUAGCGGUGAAAUGCGUAGAGAUCUGGAGGA
rnacentral:rRNA from 1 species